GAUGAAGAACGUAGCGAAAUGCGAUACUUGGUGUGAAUUGCAGAAUCCCGUGAACCAUCGAGUCUUUGAACGCAAGUUGCGCCCGAAGCCAUUAGGCCGAGGGCACGCCUGCCUGGGCGUCACACGUCGUUGCCCCCCCAUCUACUCCUUCGGGAUUGCGGGGGGCGGAUGAUGGCCUCUCGUGCGCCUCGUCGCGCGGUUGGCCUAAAUGCCAAGUCCUCGGCGACGCACGCCACGACAAUCGGUGGUUGCGAAACCUCGGUUGCCUGUCGUGUGCGGUCGUCGCGCAUCGAGGGCUCGAAAAAAUUGCCGGGCUCCGGCUCGGCUUUCAAUGCGACCCCAGGUCAGGCGGGGUUACCCGCUGAAUUUAAGCAUAUCAAUAAGCGGAGGA
rnacentral:misc_RNA from 1 species